rnacentral:tRNA from 1 species
GUCCGGGUGGCGGAAUAGGUAGACGCGCUAGCUUGAGGUGCUAGUGCCCGCAAGGGUAUGGGGGUUCAAGUCCCCCCUCGGACA